GACGAACGCUGGCGGCGUGCUUAACACAUGCAAGUCGAACGGAAAGGCCCUGCUUUUGUGGGGUGCUCGAGUGGCGAACGGGUGAGUAACACGUGAGUAACCUGCCCUUGACUUUGGGAUAACUUCAGGAAACUGGGGCUAAUACCGGAUAGGAGCUCCUGCUGCAUGGUGGGGGUUGGAAAGUUUCGGCGGUUGGGGAUGGACUCGCGGCUUAUCAGCUUGUUGGUGGGGUAGUGGCUUACCAAGGCUUUGACGGGUAGCCGGCAUGGGAGGGUGACCGGCCACAUUGGGACUGAGAUACGGACCAGACUCCUACGGGAGGCAGCAGUGGGGAAUAUUGCACAAUGGGCGGAAGCCUGAUGCAGCAACGCCGCGUGCGGGAUGACGGCCUUCGGGUUGUAAACCGCUUUCGCCUGUGACGAAGCGUGAGUGACGGUAAUGGGUAAAGAAGCACCGGCUAACUACGUG
rnacentral:rRNA from 1 species